CKUUUGUGAACUGCAGGACACAUGAACACCGACACGUUGAACGCAUAUGGCGCAUCGGACGUUUAAACCCGACCGAUGCACACAUCUUUGAGUGCCUACCCAAUCCUUCUUACACAAACCCUGACUACAUGGCGGGCAUGCGCAGCGAACCAACACUCCGGCGAACAACGCGCCGAGUGUCGCUGACCAACGCGUGUUCCGCACUGUGCAUCAUGGCGUGCUUGGUACCCUGCAUGGGGGACCUAGGGCGCUGAAAUGGUAAGGCGAUACUGUUACCUUGAGUCGGGUCAAGUCGCACGGUUCGAACUUUGGCUCUAAGACAACCUGGGAGCACCGGAAGCCUACUAACACCAGGCUUGCCGUCUGUUGCCAGGACCCGCCGUCUAGCCGAGUCGUGUAACGCGUACGACCCAUACCUGAUACCAGCGAGUGUGCAGUGUGUGCUACUAUUUACCAUUUCACCCAACGUAGGCCUCAAGUGAUGUGUGAGAACCCCCUGAAUUUAAGCAUAAMAA
rnacentral:rRNA from 1 species